rnacentral:snRNA from 1 species
UAGGUCACUGGUUCGAAUCCGGUAGGUCG